AACCUCCGCAAUGUGAGAAAUCGCGACGGGGGGAUCCCAAGUGCCAUUCUUAACGGGAUGGCUUUUCAUUAGUGUAAAGAGCUUUUGGAAUAAGAGCUGGGCAAGACCGGUGCCAGCCGCCGCGGUAACACCGGCAGCUCUAGUGGUAACAAUUUUUAUUGGGCCUAAAGCGUCCGUAGCCGGUUUAAUAAGUCUCUGGUGAAAUCCUGUAGCUUAACUGUGGGAAUUGCUGGAGAUACUAUUAGACUUGAGACCGGGAGAGGUUAGAGGUACUCCCAGGGUAGAGGUGAAAUUCUGUAAUCCUGGGAGGACCGCCUGUUGCGAAGGCGUCUAACUGGAACGGUUCUGACGGUGAGGGACGAAAGUUAGGGGCGCGAACCGGAUUAGAUACCCGGGUAGUCCUAACUGUAAACGAUGCGGACUUGGUGUUGGGGUGGCUUUGAGCUGCUUCAGUGCCGAAGGGAAGCUGUUAAGUCCGCCGCCUGGGAAGUACGGUCGCAAGACUGAAACUUAAAGGAAUU
rnacentral:rRNA from 1 species